AGAGAACCUUUGAAAAAUUGAAAUUAGAGAGAGGACCUGAUGCACCGAAACACAGUUUCAUUCAGCAGUACUCAACCAUGCAAAUGACAAAUUUAUCCUUUAUGAUAUUAACAAUAGUUGGGCCCACCGUGUGUCAAAGUGUAAAUUACUUUAACCGUUGUUUCCCUUUCUGAAACUGAGUCAGCUGAUACUUCAUGAUGUCCGCGGAAACGUUAGCAUAUCGGAACGGCGUUGUAAAAGUGAACGCCGAUAGCCAAUUUCUCAUCCUUCGCCACCGCCAAUGUAAAAGUGCGGGAGAGAGAGCGCCGGCGACGGAAGAAGAAGAAAUACAAUAUCAAGGCCUGAAGGAGCAUGGCCAAAGACGGUGGCAACGGGAAGCGGAAUACCUAUCCGCAGCAGGUUGUAUACCAAGUUGAAAUUCAGGACAGGGAAGAGCCAAAUGAUAUAGCUUGGAGGAAGAAAUCUUAAAAAAUGUUCGGGAACAUUAGUUUUCGCGAUAUUAUAUGUUCAGAGUAUAUUGAUAAGAAGCACGAGUCUAUUCAAAAUGCAACUACCAAUAAGAAAGCAGACUCUGAUUCUGAAGAGGAAGGAAGAGAUCUUGAGAAAAACGACAGGCAUCUCAAACAAGAAGAGAGGGUAUAGUGAUUUGUAGCAUAUUUAUUUAUUUGUUUUGUUUGUUUAAUUUGACCACUAGAUUUCUCUCCAUAAUUUGCUAAAAGUUUAAUUUUUGUGUUAAACUUCAAUGCCAGAUAGAGAUUACUGAACUGAAACAGGUUUUCUCCUGACCUGAUGUUCUUGAGGUUGGAAUACACUGUUUAGUAUACUUGGUUUUGAACAUUUGUGCCUUCACUCCAAACUUUCUACUUUGGCCCUAUGCUAUUAUGCAAACGCUUGUAACACUAUUUUUUCAAUUUUAAGGUGUGGGUGGGAUACCAUUGUAGCAGAUCCAAAGUUAUUGGUUUUCUUGAAAUCUUUUCCAAAUACUCUACCUGUAUGUAGGCAUUGCUGCCAAAAGAGAAAAUUUUGGCUGGUUUUCUUCUGUUUUCUCAUGCACGCUUAUAUUGAGAAGGAAGAGAGUAAAAUGUUGAAACAUAAGCAAAAGGAAUGCAUGCAACCAAAAAUGCAGUAAAUGGAAUUUGAUUAUCAGUUGUAUUGUUAACACUGGCACCUGGGAGAAGUCAGGGUCAAAAGGGUUGAUUUACUUAAGUUCUAAAGUCAGAUAAAGUGGAUGUCACUUUACUCCCAGAAGAGUUGGAUGACAUGGAAAAUGUUUUACACACAAAGUAUGAAAAUGCUAGGGAGGAAGAGAAGUUACGAAGGAAGCCUGAGGAUUUCAUCGACGUGGUUGCCGAGCUGUUACAUUUGAUUUUCAUAUCAUACAAACCUACCAUAUUGUCAUUAUUAUUAAUAACUUAGACCUUGAUUUUUAUAUUUAAUUAUGUAAACAAGCGGUGCAGAAUGAGAAUAGGACUAGAAGAGAAAGAUGCAAGAAAAAGGAGGGAAAGUCCAGGAAGACAUUAAGUUCUAAAGUUGGUGUAACAUCUUUUUUCUUUUGCAGAAAAAAAAUGGGGGACCUGGAUGUUACACACUCAUCAAAUUGUCAUUUUCCAUUUAGCGAGGAUUAGUUGUUAGCUGUGUUGUAUGGUACUUCUAUCACAUGUAAUUGUCAGCAAGUAGCUUUCAUUGUAUAAGUUAGGAAUUUAUAUAUCGUAUAAUUAACAUCUUAUGCAGCGCUGAUGUUUAUUUGGAAACACAAUUGCAAUUAAUCAUUAUUAAGGUUGGUUGGUAUUCUGUUU